GAUGAACGCUGGCGGCGUGCCUAAUACAUGCAAGUCGAGCGAACAGACGAGGAGCUUGCUCCUCUGACGUUAGCGGCGGACGGGUGAGUAACACGUGGAUAACCUACCUAUAAGACUGGGAUAACUUCGGGAACCCGGAGCUAAUACCGGAUAUUAUAUUGAACCGAAUGGUUCAUUAGUGAAAGACGGUUUUGCUGUAACUUAUAGAUGGAUCCGCGCCGCAUUAGCUAGUUGGUAAGGUAACGGCUUACCAAGGCAACGAUGCGUAGCCGACCUGAGAGGGUGAUCGGCCACACUGGAACUGAGACACGGUCCAGACUCCUACGGGAGGCAGCAGUAGGGAAUCUUCCGCAAUGGGCGAAAGCCUGACGGAGCAACGCCGCGUGAGUGAUGAAGGUCUUCGGAUCGUAAAACUCUGUUAUUAGGGAAGAACAAAUGUGUAAGUAACUAUGCACGUCUUGACGGUACCUAAUCAGAAAGCCACGGCUAACUACGUG
rnacentral:rRNA from 1 species